rnacentral:SRP_RNA from 1 species
CCGUGCUAGGCGGGAGGCUGGCGGUCUCCUCUACUCGAAACCCGCCAUAUGCGAGGCUGAAAGACAUCAUGAGGCCGGGAGAGCUGGGGCCACUGCGGGAGCGGACGAUGAUGAAGAUCGGGUCUUUGCUCGCAACGCCCCGCCAACCCCGCCAGGUCCGGAAGGAAGCAACGGUACGCGGACGCUGUUACGGUGCAAAGUAAGCCUGGUUGGAGUCGCCUCGUUUUUGCAGUCCUUGCCGCCCCGGACGAAGGUGCCGCACGG